rnacentral:misc_RNA from 1 species
GAUGAAGAACGCAGCGAAAUGCGAUAAGUAAUGUGAAUUGCAGAAUUCCGUGAAUCAUCGAAUCUUUGAACGCACAUUGCGCCCCUUGGUAUUCCGGGGGGCAUGCCUGUUCGAGCGUCAUUUCAACCCUCAAGCUCUGCUUGGUAUUGGGCACCGUCCUUUGCGGGCGCGCCUCAAAGACCUCGGCGGUGGCGUCUUGCCUCAAGCGUAGUAGAAUACACCUCGCUUCGGAGCGUAAGGCGUCGCCCGCCGGACGAACCUUCUGAACUUUUCUCAAGGUUGACCUCGGAUCAGGUAGGGAUACCCGCUGAACUUAAGCAUAUCAAUAAGCGGAGGA